UACGUAGGGGGCGAGCGUCGUCCGGAAUUAUUGGGCGUAAAGCGCGCGCAGGCGGUUUCUUAAGUCUGAUGUGAAAGCCCACUGCUUAACCGUGGAGGGUCAUUGGAAACUGGGAGACUUGAGUACAGAAGAGGAGAGUGGAAUUCCACGUGUAGCGGUGAAAUGCGUAGAUAUGUGGAGGAACACCAGUGGCGAAGGCGACUCUCUGGCCUGUAACUGACGCUGAGGCGCGAAAACGUGGGGAGCAAACAGG
rnacentral:misc_RNA from 1 species